GGCAAUGAUGAGCGAAGUAUAGUCUGACUUGGUAUUGCUUUGACCAACUGUCUUGGCUCUGACCAAGGCGUGAUCACGCAAUCUUCUCUCUGAGCCC